rnacentral:tRNA from 1 species
UCUUUGUUAGUAUAUCGGUUAGUACACGCGCCUGUCAUGGAAUCCAUAACGCGCGAAAGCUGGGUUCGACUCCCAGACAGAGAG